rnacentral:rRNA from 1 species
AACGAACGCUGGCGGCAGGCUUAACACAUGCAAGUUGAGCGCCCCGCAAGGGGAGCGGCAGACGGGUGAGUAACGCGUGGGAAUCUACCCAUCUCUACGGAAUAACGCAUGGAAACGUGUGCUAAUACCGUAUACGUCCUUCGGGAGAAAGAUUUAUCGGAGAUGGAUGAGCGCGCGUUGGAUUAGCUAGUUGGUGGGGUAAAGGCCUACGAAGGCGACGAUCCAUAGGUGGUCUGAGAGGAUAAUCAGCCACACUGGGACUGAGACACGUCCAAGAAUCCUGCGGGAGGCAGCAGUAGGGAAUAUUGGACAAGGGGCGCAAGCCUGGUCCAGCCAUGCCGCGUGAGUGAUGAAGGCCCUAGGGUUGUAAAGCUCUUUCACCGGUGAAGAUAAUGACGGUAACCGGAGAAGAAGCCCCGGCUAACUUCGUGCCAGCCGCCGCUGUAAUAC